rnacentral:rRNA from 1 species
UGGGGAAUAUUGCACAAUGGGCGCAAGCCUGAUGCAGCCAUGCCGCGUGUAUGAAGAAGGCCUUCGGGUUGUAAAGUACUUUCAGCGGGGAGGAAGGCGAUGUGGUUAAUAACCGCGUCGAUUGACGUUACCCGCAGAAGAAGCACCGGCUAACUCCGUGCCAGCAGCCGCGGUAAGACGGAGGGUGCAAGCGUUAAUCGGAAUUACUGGGCGUAAAGCGCACGCAGGCGGUCUGUCAAGUCGGAUGUGAAAUCCCCGGGCUCAACCUGGGAACUGCAUCCGAAACUGGCAGGCUUGAGUCUCGUAGAGGGGGGUAGAAUUCCAGGUGUAGCGGUGAAAUGCGUAGAGAUCUGGAGGAAUACCGGUGGCGAAGGCGGCCCCCUGGACGAAGACUGACGCUCAGGUGCGAAAGCGUGGGGAGCAAACA